rnacentral:tmRNA from 1 species
UAAUUUUACAAGUGCCAACGAUGAUUCUGAGGUGCUCGCUGUCGCAGCAUAAGCGAUAAGCGCGGUUUGGAAAGCACCGGGCAACAGAAGCUUUCCACA